rnacentral:tRNA from 1 species
GGUCCUAUAGUGUAGUGGUUAUCACUUUNNNUUCUGAUCCGAACAACCCCAGUUCGAAUCCGGGUAGGACCU